GCCAGGGUGGUGGUGUGGUUUAAGCACUGGACUACAACUCUGGGGACCAGGGUUCGAAUCCCCGCUCAACUA